GUGGUAUGUCAAAGCUAUCGCUAGUUCUAAUUAAUCCUAGCUCACAUUGUGUAUUGGAGUGUGAUUCGCAGUCAUCCUGUUUCAAAAGAAAAAAAAAUUCAUGUCAUUCCAUGUUAUACAGAGUGGUUUACGUUUUGCAGGUAAGGCCUCGUUUGGCAGCUCGGACUGUACUGACUAUUUCUGUCGGAUAGGAUAAAUAACCACCGGAUAGUACUGACUAAAUUAGUCGGGCGUUUGGUGCAGUAUCGGAUUAAUAACCGUAUUAUUUAUACUAUGUUUGGUAUUAUACCGGAUAAGUGGAAUUCAAAAUAUUAAUAUUUUAAGAUAAAAAUUGAUACUUAGGUUUAUUUUUCUUUUUGUACGGUUGUUUCUUCACUUUGCAGAAGAGAAGCACUUUGCUUCUCCCAUUCCCGAAGCAAAAUGAAAGGCACUCUACAAAGACCAUCAACACCGAAGCCUCUCAAAUCUCCACCUCUCUGUCAUUUGAAGCACUUUGCUUCUCCCAUUCGAGUUUCGUCAAUCCAUCGCGAAGAUGAAAACCCAGAAGCAAAAAAUGGAGAAGAUGAAAACCCAAAAGCAAAAAGAUGGAGAAGAUGAAAACCCAGAAGCAAAAAAUUGAAAACCCAUAAUUGAAAACCCAGAAACACCAUAAUUGAAAACCUGGGUUUCGUCUGCCUAGCUACCUUUUCUUCCUUCUUGGGCUCCCCCGUCGCCGGAGCCUCUGCUGGCAGUUGGGAAGGAGGGAGAGACAGAGCAGCAAUACCUUGGUGGAGUUCGCGUUGGGCAGGAGCAGAGAGGGUCGGAGAGAAGAGCAUACUGGGCGCGAACCCGACUAAUUAUACCAACCUAUUGGAGAGGAUAGCUAAGCGGGUGCAGAGUGUAUUAAAAUGGUGGGCCCGGAUUAUUUAAUCCGGUGCUUAUUUAAUCCAAACGACCACCAAACACCGUACAUCGUAUUAUUAGUACUAUCCGGUGUCUUAUACGGUGUGCCAAACAGGACCUAAGUGUUUUCUUAAUUUUUAUUCUGCAUCAAUAUUAGUGGUGUCAUCGUCACAUUCCUUAAUUUAACUACCAACGUUUUUUCAGGCCUAUGUUAUUUCUUGAAGGAUUCUGAUCAGAACCGCAUGAAUCAUUUAAAGGAAGUAAGAAAACGAAAUAAAAGAACAUACAAAAUGCAUAAAUUGACGAUGAGACAGGAAAAGAAACAAAUAAUUUGUCGCUGCCUUUCUCACCUCUUCCCGGCCCUUUUGUUAUUUUUGUGGCAACCAAAUAGACGGAAACGAAGCUAUUUGGGAUUUUUCCCUGAAAAUUGAGGGUUGCGGAUGGCUUGUACAAAUAUUUGGACUUUGUGAGACUAUUAUGCCUUUUCCGAUCAUGUAUUUUUUUUAUUUCUCUUGUAAGUUUGGUUUGCAAUUUGUGAGAAGUUUAGUUAGAGCAUUCUACCCACUAGUAGAAAAAACACUUUGCACGACGGAGCAAAUUUAGUCGUGCAAAGUGGGUUUGCGCGACUAUAAACACAAAGUGUCGCGCAAAUGUAUUUUGCGUGAUGAAAGUUGUGUCGCGCAAAACUGUUUUGCACGACGCAACCUUCGUCGUGCAAGAUUUUGGUGCCAAACGAAGCAUAUUUACCGCUUUUAUCCCAACUUUGCGCGACGCAGAUGGGAAGUGGUCGCGCAAAACUGCUUUGCGCGACGGAGAUGGGC
rnacentral:lncRNA from 1 species